UAAAUAAUUGAUUUUAUUUGGACUCAUGAAUCCCAAUAUAGUCAAAUAUCUUUCUAAUAUGUAUGAAUUGCAUAAGGUAGAAGGGUCCUUCUGCCUUACUACUCUGAUAUUUACUGAUCUGCCUAUUCAUUGAUUCAACAGGAGUAUAUUCUCACAGUGGAGUGUGGUAGGUGCUGGGGAUAUAAACAUAAAAAGAUACAGUUUUUGCCCUCAGGUUAAAGUUUACACAUGGAUCAAGGAAGCAUGUUUAUAUAGCCAUAUGACCCCUGUGAUGAUUAUUUAGAAGUAUCCAAUGUCAUUAAGGGAUACAACUUAGGAAACUGCAUUUGCAGUGAGCAGGAAAAAACACCUCUUUCAUGGUUAGUGAUUUUUCUUUUUUUGAUUCACUCAGUAGGGGUUCCACAUAAAUGAUAUUUUUAGAAGUGGGGCUGAAAGAAAUCUUUUUCUUUGGAAACAUAAGAAAGAUUCUGAAGUCAAAAGGGGAGAGCAGAGGGCAUGAAUGCAUCAAAACAUCUGCUUUUUCUUAACAGGCACCAGCUUCCAAAAUCACAACCCUUUCCUUCAAUAACUCUUUUAUAAGUCUCCCAGGCCUCCUCUGAGUCUUAGAAGACUGGCUCAAGAGCUGAUCUGCUCUGGGGCUUCUGAGAAGGCUUCCUGGAGGUAGAAGCAAUCAGACUAAACAUAUGGAAGUAGGGUCUAAAUCGGAGCUGCAGCUGCUAGCCUACACCACAGCCACAGC